AGAGUUUGAUCCUGGCUCAGGACAAACGCUGGCGGCGUGCGUAACACAUGCAAGUCGAACGCGCGGGGCAACCCGCGAGUGGCGGACGGGUGAGGAACACGUGGAUGACCUGUCCUACCAGUGGGGGAUACCUUUCAGAAAUGGGGGUUAAUCCCGCAUACGUCCCAAGCAUCACGGCUUGGGGGAAAGCCUUCGGCAAC
rnacentral:rRNA from 1 species